rnacentral:rRNA from 1 species
UCGUAACAAGGUCUCCGUUGGUGAACCAGCGGAGGGAUCAUUACCGAGUUUACAACUCCCAAACCCAAUGUGAACGUUACCAAACUGUUGCCUCGGCGGGAUCUCUGCCCCGGGUGCGUCGCAGCCCCGGACCAAGGCGCCCGCCGGAGGACCAACCUAAAACUCUUAUUGUAUACCCCCUCGCGGGUUUUUUUAUAAUCUGAGCCUUCUCGGCGCCUCUCGUAGGCGUUUCGAAAAUGAAUCAAAACUUUCAACAACGGAUCUCUUGGUUCUGGCAUCGAUGAAGAACGCAGCGAAAUGCGAUAAGUAAUGUGAAUUGCAGAAUUCAGUGAAUCAUCGAAUCUUUGAACGCACAUUGCGCCCGCCAGUAUUCUGGCGGGCAUGCCUGUCCGAGCGUCAUUUCAACCCUCGAACCCCUCCGGGGGGUCGGCGUUGGGGAUCGGCCCUCCCUUAGCGGGUGGCCGUCUCCGAAAUACAGUGGCGGUCUCGCCGCAGCCUCUCCUGCGCAGUAGUUUGCACACUCGCAUCGGGAGCGCGGCGCGUCCACAGCCGUUAAACACCCAACUUCUGAAAUGUUGACCUCGGAUCAGGUAGGAAUACCCGCUGAACUUAAGCAUAUCAAUAAGCGGAGG